CCGGUCUCCUGGGGGGCCGCGGCGGCCUGUUCGUUGAGGAACCAAAUGCUGGACUCCAAGACCUGGGCUUGUAGAACGUUCAGAUCUAUCACUCGUAUUCUAGGGAUUUUGGGACUUUCCGAGGUCGAACGUCGAGCAAUUCACAAAUCUGCAGUUCAGGAAAUGAUGUUGAGAGAAUGGAUAGAAUCAAGAAAGGACAUGAGCAACAGCGCACUUCAACGUAUAUUAUUAUAUUCACAGCGGUAGAUCCAGCGACAUCAGAUGUCAAAUCCAGCAGUAUAUCAAAAUAAAGACGAUGACAAAUUUUGAAA